rnacentral:lncRNA from 1 species
CAUUUUUGGAUCAGGAUUUUCUUCUCCCUUCGUCACUUUCUCUUCAACAAAACCAGUUGUGAGAGCCUUUCAAAAAAAUCCGAAUUCUGUCACUUUUCCUUCCCCCAUCUUUGUAGCCCUCUUUCCAUCAAAUUAAAAGAAAACACAUAUAAGAGAAAUGGCGAGAUUCAAAAGGCAAAAUGAGCGAAAAACGGAAAAAUAAAGUGUUUGAAGGCUAUUCAAAUUUUCACUCUUUUGCUUCAAUUUUUUUGCUGGAACUUCGUCUGAUUUUCUGUCAAUUAGAGUGGUUUUCGGUCGUUGUUCAACUAUUUCGAUUGUCAUAUCGAUUCUGUGAUUGAUUCACUAAUACAAAGGUUCCUCUCUUUUCGUAGUUUGUUUUCUCAUUAUUGUUCUGGGUCACUAUGUGUUCGUUUGGUUUUUUGGUAUAAUAUGAUCGAGUUUUCAUCUGAGUGCGUUGAGAUUGAUUUGUUCUCCUGUUGAAUAUGUUUCAAGAUUAGUCUACCGUUCCCUUUUGCAUCUAUAUGCUCGAUUUGAACUCUUAAUUGUUAUUAAUUACAUCGAAUGAAUUAUCUAAGGGAAUGAUUUCACGUGGAUUGUUCUGUUUUCCCGGCAAGCCGAUGGUAAUGGUAGAUACGGUGAGUGUUUAAUUCCAUUAGUCCGUUAGAUAUAAUACCAUUGUAUCAGUGUUGAUUUUCUCAGCUAAUUUGGGUUAUUGUCAAUCUGCAUCUUCGUGUUGGUUUGAUAAAGAGUAAUUUUAUUAUCUUUGAUUGUUGGAUUGUUAUUGCUCAAUAAAUGAAUAAGUCUGGGUGAUUGUUUGCUUCAAAUAGCCAAGUCACAGUAUGAACAAAAGUUGGUUUACUCAAAGGCCGUCUCUAAUGUCGGUGAUUUAGUUAGGAAUUGUUGGAAAUUGUUCAAUGUUCUUGGAAAUGAUUUUAUUAAUUGUCACUGGGAACAUGAAAUACAGUGCUUUGUAUUGGAUUUUUGAAGAAUUCAGUUACGCUUUGCUUUAGAGUUGGGAUUAGCAUGACAGAUUUGCUAACUUUUACCAAUGGUUUUGGAUUGAAGAAGUCUAAUUUUCAUGCUUCAUUGAUGUAGUAAAUUGUGAGCAUCUCAAAAUGGAGGAUACAUGAAUACCAGUAAGUGAUACCAAAUCACUACUGUGAUGAAUGCAUUUUUGUGAUAUUUGUUUUUUCUUUCUAAUAUUAAAAUAUGUGAAGGAGCUUGUGACCAUGUUUGCAAAGUUUAUUUUUAGAAUCUGCAAAAUUGGGAUGCUAGUGCUUUACUCUCGUGCUAGACUUUGUAUUGGCCAUUUUGGAGAUUAAUAAUGAUUAAGUCGAGCAUUAGUUCUAGUUCAGAUUAGAUUAUGAGAACAAAAUCAGACUUAGAAAGAAAUAAACGCGAACACUUUUAGUUUGAUUUAGUAGAGUGCAAUCUUCUGAAAUAAAUUGAGGCGAGCCAUGCCAAAUAAAACAAAGUCAUGGCCCUCACUUAAUUGAAUUUAAUGCUUAGAAUUUGGGACGUGCCGUUUAGCAAAUUUCACGGCCUCCCGCAAAGUUAACAAUACGCUAGUCGCUCUAGGCCCGUCAUUUAAUAAAUUACCUCUUUAAACUCGGGUGCGCAUUGAUGCGAUCCAAAUCUGAAUCUCGACAAAGUGAAAAUUCGUUGAUAACCACGGGUGCCUUGAUGGUGACGGGGUUAGAAACGUGUUUUCAUGACUUCGUAAUUCUUAUAAAAUAAAUAACGAUCGAAAAAUGGUUCAAAAAUGGAGAUGAGCCUCACCGAACAAGAAUAAAUGUAGGACCCUCAAUAAUUGGUUAUUAAAAAUGAUUACAAUUUGGAAGGGUUGUUCAGCGAAUUUCAACGGCCUUUCCCAAAAAAAUAUUACGUUAGAUCCAUUAAGCGCGAUUUAAUUAAAUUAUUUUCUUAAACUCGGGUGCACAUUGAUGCGACCCAAAUCCAAAUCUCGAUGAAGUCUAAAUUUGUUGACAACCACGGGUGCAUUGAUUGCGACGUGGUUCGUAAUGCGUUUUCACAACAUCGCAAUUCUUUUAAAAUAAACAAAGAUAAAAAGCGAUUUACAAGUAAAAGGCACAUAAGCUAUAAUGUAUUAAAAUUAAAUAAAAUCAAAUGCAACAAUUAAGAGACCGUGCUAGAACCACGGAACCCGGGAAUGCCUAACACCUUCACCCGGGUUAACAGAAUUCCUUACUCGAAUUUCUGGUUCGCAGACUGUAACAGAGUCAUAUCUUUCCUUGGUUCGGGAUUCAACCGGUGAAUUGGAACACCAUUAAUCUCCCAGGUGGCGACUCUGAAUAAUUAAUAACUCAAUCCCGUUCCGAUUGUCCUUCAAUUGGAAAAACUCCUUUAAGCUCAUUUGCGGGGGUGUUAGUGAAAAAGGAGGUGUGACAAUUGCUUCAUAUUUUUGUGAGUUGUGCGUAAUAAAUUUCAAUCGUUCUCUUUGUUGUUUGUUUUGUUUAAAUCAUUUGAGUUCCUUGACUCUGUUCUUUUCCUUCUCUGUUGUUUGUUUUUCUCUUUCUUUUGUUGGGCCUAAACAAACCUUAUUCGCUUGAGCCUCAUGGCUCGUUGGUUAUUGGUUUGAAGUCUGUAAGUUUGGGCCAGAUUAUGCAUGCCCAGGGGUUUUGGUUUUGGGGUUUUGGGUCAAAUUGACCCAGUUAAUUUUUGAAGGUAAAUUCAGAGGUAAUUCAGGAAAUUCGGUUUAAGGAAUCUUUCGUAUAACUGAUUUUUAGAAGCCUUGAAAGGUUCAAGGGUAAAUAACAUGGCUAUUAAGGGUAAAUUAGGUAGUGUAAGUGUUUUAGUAACGGAAUAGAAGUAUCCAGAAUUUUCUCUUGUGAGGGUUUGAAUGGGGUUUUCAGAUUUUUGGGGUAGUAAAACUUGGUCCACAAUUUAAAAACAAAAGGACCAAACUGCAAACAAUAAGCAUAAAGGUUGCCCUACUUGCCUUGGUUAUAAAGGAACCUAUUCUUGCCUUCCAAGGCAAGAAAAAAGAGGCCGGAUCGCUAGAAUUAAACAUAUAUACAACCAGUGAAAUUUCACUGUUACAUUGAUUUAUCACGGAUUUUCUGAAAAGCUUCCCAUUCUGAUAAAUCCUUUAGUUUUUCUGCACCACUUGAUUUGAGUUGGUUAUAUAUUGAUUUGAUGUCAUUUUCUGGGCUCAUCUUACCUCGUUUUCUUGAGUUCAAAAUCAUCUUGUUAUUUAUUUUUGACUGUUUGGGAUUUGAGAUUGCUUGGAUUGGUUGUGUUGCUGAUAUUCUGCCGUGCAUCUGCUGAUUAAUCACCCUCACUUUCUUUCCAUUUUCCAGGUAUAUUUUGGCCCUUAUGGAUGUCCUACAAGUGUAACAUGAAGUCGUGAUUCUGGAAUACAAACGAUUAAUAGCUUUGAAUUUCCUUCCAUUUGUAUAAUUUCUAGUUGUUAAAUUUUAUUUAGGUUGUAGUCGUGCACCCCAUUUACAUGAUGCUUAACUAGGAUUUUCAUUGUUUUAGCUUAUUCCUGUAGUCAACUAUUGUAAUUUAAUAAGUAGACUUUCAAUCUCACAUUUAGAUAUGGUGUAAAUUUUAAAGCAUUUAGUGAGUAGCGGGGUAGCCUUUAAUUAACUUUUAUAUGAUGCAUCCUAGGCAGAAAAGUUGUUUGUUUCGUCUAUUAAAGCACAAGUGUGG